CUUCUUUUACUGUUAUAGGUUUGUAGCUUUCAAAUGUCAUACAAGCUGGUAAAAGAGCAUCAAACUGGAGAGAAAAGAAUUAAACUGUAUGUCUUUAAAAAUGUUAUACAAAUAUAAUAUAACAAACAACACAUUAAGACAUUAACAGAAACUUCAGUUCUCCUUCUAGAAUAGAAUCCAAUAGAACUUGAGUGAGCUGAACUGAAAUGUAAAGUGGGAAAUAACAAAAAAAUAUUCACAAUGGCAGAAGAGAAGAAUUUAGUGAAUAAAGAAUUCAACAGUGUAACACAAAAUUUCUGGGUGUCCUGAAUAAAGCAGAAAAUAUACAAGAAAAGGAUUAUUCAAAAGGAAUUAAAUGUUUUACAAGACAGCAAUACAGAAUAUGAGGUAAGUAGUGCCAGUGAUGACUACUGCUGACAAUCAUGACAAACAGUUACUCUUCCUCUGGAUUAAACAAUAAUAUCAGCAGAAUGGUAUGUUUAAUUAAUCUGCUUUAUACACAUUCAUUAUUUUAACAUAAAUACUCAAGAAGAUGGGUGUGACCACAAACAGUUACUAGAUGUUAUAAAUGCUUUUAAUCUGACUAUGACAAUAAAUGUACCCACUCGAGUAACUGAAAGUACAGCAACAAUUUUAGACCAAAUCAUUAC